AAUAGGAGCGAAUGUGUCAUACGUGCGGAGGCUGCGAGGAGAAGAGCUGUCAGGAGAAAGCAGCCUCGCUUGAAGGGGAGGAGGCGCUGAAGGUCAGUGUCACGACCGACCACAGGGCCUCCUCUCAAAACGCGUUUCCCGACAUCGUGCAGACCAGGGUUCCUGACUGACUGUGCCAGGCCACGUCACGGGCUCCUGAAGAGGAACUAACUUACAGGUCUUCCGAGUCUUCGCUUCGCCACGCUCCUGUAUACGCCGAGGGAGGCCAAAGCUCCGUCGCUCUGCAGGCGGGUCUGCGCUACGCUGUGUCUAGGUGGAGAACAGAGCGUAUUUUAAUUUGCAGCAGCAGCAGCAAGCUCCUGAUCUUGAGGAUCUCCACGUGCAGCUCAUUCUAGCCAGUCCUUCUCCACAGUAAGGCCAAGUGGGAGCUGUCUUCGCAGGAGCAGUGCCAGCUGAAAAUUCCCCUGCUUCCAGCUCCGUUGCACUCUUCCAGCAGCACAAGCAAACCAGAACACAGACAAGUAUGUUUCCCAGUAAACAGAAGUCACUUGCUCUUGCCUAAAAAAGGAGUGCAAGUAGGAAACGACUUCUUACAUGCACAGAAAUUCACGUUGCUCAUGGUGAUGUAGACUUUUGGUGAAAUCAGUUUAGGAUAAAAAGAAGUAAAUAUGACUCAGAAACAAACUUGAUGUUUAUAGAGACGAAACAUUAUUACUGAGGUCUUUUUUAAUGUUUUCAAGGCAUUGGAUAGCUACCUUCCCUUUGCAAACCUUGUGGGAUUGUUAAUAACACAGAGAAAGCAGACAUUCAAGCUUUGAACUUCCUGGUAAUGCAAAGAUAGCCCUUACGGAUCUCCUUUAAAGCUCAGUACCUACCAGUUCUUGCUAGACCUGCCAGUUCUACUGAUCUUUGAAUGCUAACAAGAUGAUGUGUGUUUUAUCUUAUUCAAUUUGAAGGCUAUUUGGGGUAAGUAAUAUCAUUGUAAAUGA